AGACGCGCUAGCUUCAGGUGUUAGUGUCUUAACGGACGUGAGGGUUCAAGUCCCUCUCUUCGCACCAACGUUGUCAUCCUCCGGCUU
rnacentral:tRNA from 1 species